rnacentral:rRNA from 1 species
CCUACGGGGGGCUGCAGUGGGGAAUAUUGGACAAUGGGGGCAACCCUGAUCCAGCCAUGCCGCGUGUGUGAAGAAGGCCCUCGGGUUGUAAAGCACUUUCAGUGAGGAAGAACGCCUGGUGGUUAAUACCCAUCAGGAAAGACAUCACUCACAGAAGAAGCACCGGCUAACUCCGUGCCAGCAGCCGCGGUAAUACGGAGGGUGCGAGCGUUAAUCGGAAUUACUGGGCGUAAAGCGCGCGUAGGUGGCUUGAUAAGCCGGUUGUGAAAGCCCCGGGCUCAACCUGGGAACGGCAUCCGGAACUGUCAAGCUAGAGUGCAGGAGAGGAAGGUAGAAUUCCCGGUGUAGCGGUGAAAUGCGUAGAGAUCGGGAGGAAUACCAGUGGCGAAGGCGGCCUUCUGGACUGACACUGACGCUGAGGUGCGAAAGCGUGGGUAGCAAACAGGAUUAGAUACCCUGGUAGUC